CUCCGGGAAACCGGGGCUAAUACCGGAUGGUUGUCUGAACCGCAUGGUUCAGACAUAAAAGGUGGCUUCGGCUACCACUUACAGAUGGACCCGCGGCGCAUUAGCUAGUUGGUGAGGUAACGGCUCACCAAGGCGACGAUGCGUAGCCGACCUGAGAGGGUGAUCGGCCACACUGGGACUGAGACACGGCCCAGACUCCUACGGGAGGCAGCAGUAGGGAAUCUUCCGCAAUGGACGAAAGUCUGACGGAGCAACGCCGCGUGAGUGAUGAAGGUUUUCGGAUCGUAAAGCUCUGUUGUUAGGGAAGAACAAGUGCCGUUCAAAUAGGGCGGCACCUUGACGGUACCUAACCAGAAAGCCACGGCUAACUACGUGCCAGCAGCCGCGGUAAUACGUAGGUGGCAAGCGUUGUCCGGAAUUAUUGGGCGUAAAGGGCUCGCAGGCGGUUUCUUAAGUCUGAUGUGAAAGCCCCCGGCUCAACCGGGGAGGGUCAUUGGAAACUGGGGAACUUGA
rnacentral:rRNA from 1 species